UAUGUAGGGUGCGAGCGUUAAUCGGAAUUACUGGGCGUAAAGGGUGCGCAGGCGGCGUCGCAAGUCAGGCGUGAAAUCCCCGGGCUUAACCUGGGAACUGCACUUGAAACUACGAUGCUGGAGUAUGGCAGAGGGAGGUGGAAUUCCACGUGUAGCGGUGAAAUGCGUAGAGAUGUGGAGGAACACCGAUGGCGAAGGCAGCCUCCUGGGCCAAUACUGACGCUCAUGCACGAAAGCGUGGGGAGCAAACAGG
rnacentral:rRNA from 1 species